GAACGGCCACACUGGGACUGAGACACGGCCCAGACUCCUACGGGAGGCAGCAGUGGGGAAUAUUGCACAAUGGGCGAAAGCCUGAUGCAGCGACGCCGCGUGAGGGAUGAAGGCCUUCGGGUUGUAAACCUCUUUCAGCAGGGGAGAAGCGAAAGUGACGGUACCUGCAGAAGAAGCACCGGCUAACUACGUGCCAGCAGCCGCGGUAAUACGUAGGGUGCGAGCGUUGUCCGGAAUUAUUGGGCGUAAAGAGCUUGUAGGCGGUUUGUCGCGUCUGCUGUGAAAAUCCAGGGCUUAACCCUGGACGUGCAGUGGGUACGGGCAGGCUAGAGUGUGGUAGGGGAGACUGGAAUUCCUGGUGUAGCGGUGAAAUGCGCAGAUAUCAGGAGGAACACCGAUGGCGAAGGCAGGUCUCUGGGCCAUUACUGACGCUGAGAAGCGAAAGCAUGGGUAGCGAACAGGAUUAGAUACCCUGGUAGUCCAUGCCGUAAACGUUGGGCGCUGGGUGUGGGGUCCAUUCCACGGAUUCUGCGCCGUAGCUAACGCAUUAAGCGCCCCGCCUGGGGAGUACGGCCGCAAGGCUAAAACUCAAAGGAAUUGACGGGGGCCCGCACAAGCGGCGGAGCAUGCGGAUUAAUUCGAUGCAACGCGAAGAACCUUACCAAGGCUUGACAUACACCGGAAAAGUGCAGAGAUGUACUCCCCUUUUUGGUCGGUGUACAGGUGGUGCAUGGUUGUCGUCAGCUCGUGUCGUGAGAUGUUGGGUUAAGUCCCGCAACGAGCGCAACCCUCGUCGCAUGUUGCCAGCACGUAAUGGUGGGGACUCAUGUGAGACUGCCGGGGUCAACUCGGAGGAAGGUGGGGAUGACGUCAAAUCAUCAUGCCCCUUAUGUCUUGGGCUUCACGCAUGCUACAAUGGCCGGUACAGAGUGCUGCGAUACCGUGAGGUGGAGCGAAUCACUUAAAGCCGGUCUCAGUUCGGAUUGGGGUCUGCAACUCGACCCCAUGAAGUCGGAGUCGCUAGUAAUCGCAGAUCAGCAACGCUGCGGUGAAUACGUUCCCGGGCCUUGUACACACCGCCCGUCAAGUCACGAAAGUUGGUAACACCCGAAGCCGGUGGCCUAACCCUUGUGGGGGGAGCCGUCGAAGGUGGGACUGGCGAUUGGGACUAAGUCGUAACAAGGUAGCCGUACCGGAAGGUGCGGCUG
rnacentral:rRNA from 1 species